AUACGGAGGGGGCAAGCGUUGUUCGGAAUUACUGGGCGUAAAGCGUACGUAGGCGGAUCGUUAAGUUAGAGGUGAAAUCCCAGGGCUCAACCCUGGAACUGCCUUUAAUACUGGCGAUCUAGAGAUCGAGAGAGGUGAGUGGAAUUUCCAGUGUAGAGGUGAAAUUCGUAGAUAUUGGAAAGAACACCAGUGGCGAAGGCGGCUCACUGGCUCGAUACUGACGCUGAGGUACGAAAGCGUGGGGAGCAAACAGGAUUAGAAACCCCAGUAGUCC
rnacentral:rRNA from 1 species